CCUUGCUAUCAUCAUCUCCAGGCUGAGCUUCAGUGUCAGCCUCCCGAGCCUCAGUCCUUGCAAGGGCUGUGUGUGUAGCAACUAUAACUUUUGGACAAAGACCCAAGACUGCCUGCUUAUGCCUGGCUUGCUGUCUCCACCCUGUUCACUGGAUGCCUUGCAUAGACUUUAGAGGAGGACUGGAUUCCAGGUCAGCCCCUGAGCACCAGCGUGGCAGGUCAAGCCCCAGCUCUUUCUCUACGCAGAAUCAUCUGGCAAGGAGGUGGGGUGGAUUUCAGCGUGGCUUCCUGGAGGAACUCCACUCCUACCUUCAGAAUAGCCACUUUAGACUGCUGUGGGCUUGAAACCAGAAACGUGACCUCCAGGGUAGCAGAGGUCUUGUUUAUUAUAGUCGAAGAAGAUUGAAAUCAGAGAG